rnacentral:lncRNA from 1 species
AACGACACUCAUCUUGUUCUUGAGAACAAAUAGUUGAAUAUCAUUUUCGUAUUAUAACAUUUAAUGAAAAGAGUUUUCUAUCUCUUCUCUCUUUCAUAUCUUUUACAGAGAGGGAGCUCUGUUUUUCUUUUGUAAUCUCCGUCUUCAAUCAGAGCUUUUUGGUUUGUGUUUUAGAUUUCCUGUUUUGAUGCCGGUUUCUCUUUCCGACUUGUUCGGAUUUACUUUCUUUCUUUCUCUUUUGGUUGCCUUUUGCAGGCUCAAAUUAACUCUUCCAAUUUCGGGAAGAUGAAAAUUCCAGAAGUCAUCAAAUGGAUCCUUGUUCAUUGAGUGCUUGAUUCUUCUCCCAAGUGAAGGUAAUUCCUUGCUCCGCCAAAAGGGCUUGUUUAGAGCAUCGGUUCUCCUUGGUGGAUUGAUCAAGUUGAUGCGGUUGAUUGGGACGGAGUAUGAAGAAUUGGAGUCUUCGUCUUGUUCUGAUGAAUAUUUCGGGCUAAUCGGCUGAGGUUACAAAUUCUCGUGAUCAAGUUUAGGUCCAACCAAUCUCUUCUGGUGAUCUAUGGCAAAAGGCGAGUAGGUACAAUCGAAGGCAGAGAUAGAGGUUUCUUGGAGGACUGAGUUGAUCUGCCGGCUGCUGAUGAAGGAAGUUUCCGGUGAUGAUGAGUCGGUGACGGCGAAACCUUUUUCUUCUCUCAACAUCCCACAUUGCAUAACACGUAUCUCUUUUUUAUUUUUCUUAUCUUGUGUUUUGCAAUUAGUGGGCUAACUUUUGGCCAUCUUCUGUACCGAAUAUCUGCCCAUUUGGGCUUUUAUAAAACAUAUUAGGCC